rnacentral:snoRNA from 1 species
AAACCAUGCAUCGGGCAUUUUCUACGUAAUUCUUUAAAUCUCUCCCAAGCUUCAUACAACGUCUCAUCCUCAAAUUGUUGAAAAGAUGUAAUAACAUUCUUAAACUU